UAAGACCAAAUAAUUCGAUUAUACGUAUAAUGAGACUCUGUUUUAUAUUAUUUUCAAUGAGCUGCAGGCAUAUGCGUAAAGUAAUAUUUAAGAAAAAAGGGGUGUAGUCAAUUUUUAAACUUUAUUAGUAUAACAUUUUUAUGAACAUAUGUGAGUGAAAAAAAAAAACAUUUUAGAAAACUUAUCUCCAUAAUUGGUUUCUGAAAGUUUGGUUAGGAUUAGUUUUCUC